AAAUGAUUUUCUUUUAAUUUCUAUGAGUAGUAUUUUUACAAAAAUUCUAAUGAAAAUAUAAAAACGCAAACUAUCUUCUUCUUUUGGAUUUUUGUUUAUAAUACAUUUUUCAAAUACAAAAUAUGAAAUAAUAAUAAAAGGCUGACAAACUUAACUUUAUUACAACAUACUCAAAAAUCAACUAACUGAAUACUAUUAUACAUGACUAGAAAGUAAAACAUGGAUAAUAGACUCUAAAACAUAAAAAACUCCUCGAGCAGCUCCUAAAUGCAGUGAUCCUAGAGCAUCUGUCAUGUUCAAACUCCGGUAAGUGAAUCCACACCUGUAUGAGAAAAUUGAAACCAACACUGUGUGAGACAAUAAUAUUUCCUGCUAGACACAUGCAAGACAUGGUUGAGGCUACUUUUGAAAAAUGACUUAUGUGGCCAAAAGGUUGCUAGAAGUACAAAAUUUGGCUAAGAUCUCGCAAAGCCAAGAACCUAAGAUUUACUAGGAAGACCGGACCAUAUGUGAGUUGCCUACGUAUCACGUCCCGAAAGACGAGAAUCGGGUGUAUGUAGUUCGGGCAGAUAGAAUACGUGCGAGAAUAAAAAAACAACUAAUUUAGAGAAAACAUAUUUUUUCUUUUCUUUUGAAAACUGAUGAAACGUGUAAACUCUUUUUGAAUUUUCUUUUUCCUCUUUUUUUUAUUUUUGAAACACAAUGAAAAAGUGCAAAAUCUUUUAAAUUUUUUAUUCUUUUUUUUCUCUUUUCUCUUUCAAAAAUAUGACAGAAAACAUAAUUGGGCCCUACUUGCUUUAUUUUUUACACUCCACUCUCUCUGUCUCUCUCUUUCUUUUUCUUUUUUUUCUUUCUUUUUAUUUGCUCUCAACUUUCAUUGGUCCGCCAAAUGACCCUUUUAACCUUUAAGAAAUACAACAUGUAGCACAUGGGAUGCAUCAGGAUGGUCUGUUAUUUCGGGUACACUUGUCCUAGACGGACUCAUCCCCUAUGUUGAGUCCCCUAAGUCAAAUGCGCGAUGCAAACAAGCUCUCCUACCAGGGAUCCGGCAUGAGGUUGUGUUCUUCUAGGUUUAAAUCCUGGAGUUUUGAUCUAAACUUAGGGUACAGAGCGGACAACUAAGGCCGAAGAGGGGGCGACGUACCGGAAGCACUGAUGUAUGUCCAACCUUGUGGCUUGCCCAGCUUCAUUCUAUUUGGUGUGACUUUUAACAAAAAGUGGGUCACGCGUACGUGUACACCAAAUUUUAGAAGAUUUAGAUGUGUGGCGUAAGAAGACAGUUAUAUACAAUUCAAACAAUAUCAAAGCGAUAAACAAAUAGCAUGUAGAACCAAAGAUUCACAGAAUACAGUAAUAUUAACAAUAAGCAAAGGUAAGUAAAAAAUAUUAAAAGCUAGAAUUCUUGAACCAUAUACCAGUUCUGGGUUCGAUCCCCAGCAAAGUCGCUAGAACUGUCACACCUCCUUUUUCAUUACCCAUAAGGGUAUAAAGGAGUUUUUCCAAUUUAAGUGACAAUCAAAAUGUAAUUACUUGCUUAAAAUUCAGAAUCACCACUUAGGAUAAUUUAUGGUGUCCUAAGUCACCGAUUUAAUAUCCCGAAUCGAGGAAAGAUUUGACUUUAUUUACGGUCUGCGAACAUAAAAAUCUGGGUAAUGAUUUAUGUUAAUAUGGGAGAAGGUGUUAGGCAUUCCCGAAUUCUCUGGUUCUAGCACAGUCGCUUUGAUCAUACUCGGCUUAUUAAAUUAUUUAAUUACUCAUUUUAGAACAUAUGUGCUUUUGCCUCUUUCAUCGCAUUUAAUUAAGAAAAUUGUCUUGAAACGAGUUACGCGUAUGUAUACUCAUUUGUUUGGCGCGUCAAAAUCGUGUCACGCGAACGUGUCCACAAUUAAGAACACUUUAUUAUUAUUAAGAAAGUUCGGAUGAAGUUGCGCAAACGCAUACUCCGAAUUUAUUUUUAGAAAUAGUAAUCAUGUCACACGAACGUGUCCACAACCACAAUAAUAUAUUAAACAGGCUCAAACUAACUAUGAUAUUUAUUUUUUUUUAAAUCAUACUCGUGUCACGCGAACAUGGACACAAUUAUAAUAAUAGAUUAAAAAUGCACCUAAAAGUAUGCUAGCAAUGUGAACUAACCGACUUAAUUAAAUUACAUUGAUUAAGACAAUAAAUUUUACAAUAUCCGCAAAUAAAAUAUGAGUAAACUUAAUAAAUGUCUUAUUCAAUACAUAAAUUUUGUCUAAACCAAGAUUUCAAUUAACUCCUAUUCACAAGAUAAAAUGUUGCCCCAUCAAUCCAGUUAAAUGAGACAACCAAAGUUGAGAAUUAACAGAAAUUUCUAGGAUUAUCAUUACUGCAGAACUUCAAGAACGUCUACUACUAUACAAGUUUAAGCACAUGUAUUACUCUGCCAGAAGAGAACAAUAGAUACCAGAUUCGCGAUGAAACAGAGCUACAAAAUUAACAACGUGAAAAAAAAAGAAGGAAAGAGCGAUACCUGUUAAUGUGUUAAAGCAAUAGUACACGGACAGAAAUCGAGCAAACACUACAACCCAAAACUCGAAACAAUUGACGCUCGAACCAAAGAUGCCGGACAGAUCUCAAACCGGAAACAAGCAGCGACGAUCCCAAACGGACCUCUCCUUAGCUAGAAAUUGAAUUCGAAACUAUUUUGAAAAGCUGAAACUUUGAGCUCUCUGAACUCUUGCCCUAGAAUGGUAGCAAAUAUGAGUUUUGCUUCUUGGUGCUAAUGGCGGAGCGCAACUGAUUUUUGAUGGCUUUUAUGGCUUAUCAACUGUUGGUUUUGGGGUGGUUUUGUGCUGAUAUUUGGUUGAAGUGGGGGUCAUUUUGAUUGCAGCAGCGGGUUUGAUCGAAGAAGAAGCGAGAAAUGAUGGGGGUGUCGAGAAGAUGAAGACUAGGGGUGAGAUCCUUUCUGAAAAUCAGCACCGCUCCCCUCAAUUCUUAGGCGUUAUUUUUCUUUUUUCUCCUUUUCCAGCUCAUUGUAGGUGUUCAUUUUCGUUUUCCCUUUAGAUUGAUAGGCAUUUAACUUAUAUAUAGAAAAUUAGGUCUAAGGUCAUCUUUUGU
rnacentral:lncRNA from 1 species